UGGUACUUCAGAAGGUUCAACUUUGGCAUUUGCAGGAGGUUUAGACGUUUCAAGACAACUGGUUGAAAUGGUGGUGCCAUCAAUACCGUAAUAUUUAGAUUUAUAAUCAAAAGUUUCAUUGGCUUCAGGUCUUUUCUCGGUAGCAGGUUCAGUUUCAGGCUUGAGUAAACUUUUCUCGCCCUCUAAAGGAGUUGGGGAAGGAGAAACCUGCAGGGAUUCAUGUAAGGCUGAUUUCAACUCCAUACUUUUAUCACGAGGAGCAGGGGCUUCUUCAGUCUGACGUUGUUUUGGACUGGAACUCAAGUUCACAUCAUUACCAUUAGGGCCUGACUGUACCUGAGGGUUUCGAGGGCUGGUCUUCAACCCCACACUUUUAUCACUCGGGGCUGCUUCAGUAUGAUGUUGUUUUGGACUGAACCUGAAGUUCACAUUAUUAACAUCAGGGGCUGCCUCAGCCUGUGGGUUUUGAGAACUGGCCUUCAACUCCACAUUGUCAUCAUUGGAAACUGCUUCAAUCUGAUGUUGUUGAGAACCAGUUUUCAACUCUACAUGGUUAUCAAUAAGGACAGCCUCAGUCAGAGGUUCAGUAUUGGUCUUCAACUCUGGGCUUUUAUCAUGGUCAAGUUGUUCAACUGGAACUGGCUGUGCUUCAAUUGGCAAGUCACCAGCUGGAGGAUGUGGCAGUGACUGAGCUGAUUCAUCCUCAUUCUCUAUGAUAUUGUCCAUCUCUAAUUCCUAGAUUAUGUGUGUUCUCAUUCCUUGAGUUGAAACCCUGCAAUGAAAAGGACAGGGACGAUUUCG
rnacentral:misc_RNA from 1 species